AGGUCUGUGUCAUCGGGCGACCCUGACGACGCAACGCCGCGUGGGGGAUGAAGGCCUUCGGGUUGUAAACCCCUUGUCGACCGGGACGAUUGGGCGGGCCUGAUAACCAGGGGGCGGCUAGGUCCCUGCCAGCGACCCCCGUGAUAACUCAGUCCCACCGCCCGCUUAAAUAA
rnacentral:rRNA from 1 species